GGACCAAACUAGUGUAGAUUAGAUUUUCAUAUUGUUUCACUGAAUAAAAAAGAAAUACACAUACAAGUUUAAGGAAGUAUUUAAGAAGGCUGCUCACAUCCACCUUAUAGCUGAGAUGGAGGAGUCACAGGAUCGAUAUAAACAGUUAGCGCUUGGGGUACAAACAAUUCUUGAAUGUCCAGUGUGCUUUGGGAAGAUGGAUUCUACAUUAAGACAAUGCAUUAACGGACAUGGAGUAUGCAGACCAUGUGCUUCAAAGAUUGACAAAUGUCCAACUUGUAGGGAGGACUUCUCCCUGGCACUUCAACAGAACACUUUGUUGAAUCAAUUACUAGAUUUGAUUCCUAAGCUUUGCCCCUAUGCUGAGAAAGGUUGUGACUCAGUGAUCAUAGGUCAGGAGCAUCAGACUUACUGUGAAUAUCGACCAACUGAGUGUAAAGUUUUGUUGUGUAAGUGGAAUGGGCGUGUCAAAGACUUACUUGAACACUUAAAAUGUAGUCAUGAGACUAGGAUUAUUAAUGUUAAUUUAAAUGUAAAAUAUUUAAAAGCAUACGUAUUAAAUUGUUUCAUGACAAAGGAAACUUAUUAUUCGCCAAUUAUAUGCCAAAAUCAAAUUUUUUGGAAGUGCAUUUAUUUAAAAGGUCAUAUAAAUCAUACCUACCAUCGAUUAUAUUCUGUUCCAACAAUUAAGAAAUCUUGUGAUUACUACAUGGUAAUAUCAUUUGAAAGAGGUGAUUUAAAAUUUGAGCAUUAUUGCAAAGCGGCAAACUUAGAUGAUCAAAUUGAACCUGAAAAUGAAAGUGGUCUUAUCAUUCCUGUUUGUGAGUUGAACAAAUUUUUGGAGGAAGGAACACAAGAUUCCUACUAUUACAACCUGAAAUUGGUGAAAGAAAACAUUUCAUAGAUUCAGGUGUCAUGACAAAGCAAAAUGUAUAAUUAAGGAUGAUAAAGAUAAUUAAAAAAAAUGUUGUUUGACAUCACAAGAUAAAGUAAAUGAAUCCAGUACAACAAUGGAAACACACUCUAACUUGGCUCCUUGUUUAGUCCAAUCAAAGUGUAGUCAAAGACUGCAUGCAUCGUUGUAAUAAAAUGUUUCAAUAUUC